GGAGGGUUGCUAGAGUGGUAAUAGAGCGGCUUGCUAAGCCGUGGCGGUGAAUAAUCGCCCACAGGUUCGAAUCCUGUACCCUCCG
rnacentral:tRNA from 1 species